rnacentral:rRNA from 1 species
UACGAAGGGGGCUAGCGUUGUUCGGAAUCACUGGGCGUAAAGCGCGCGUAGGCGGAUUGUUAAGUCGGGGGUGAAAUCCUGAGGCUCAACCUCAGAACUGCCUUCGAUACUGGCAAUCUUGGAGUCCGGGAGAGGUGAGUGGAAUUCCUAGUGUAGAGGUGAAAUUCGUAGAUAUUAGGAAGAACACCAGUGGCGAAGGCGGCUCACUGGCCCGGUACUGACGCUGAUGUGCGAAAGCGUGGGGAGCAAACAGG